rnacentral:rRNA from 1 species
UACGGAGGGGGCUAGCGUUGUUCGGAAUUACUGGGCGUAAAGCGCACGUAGGCGGCUUUGUAAGUUAGAGGUGAAAGCCCGGGGCUCAACUCCGGAAUUGCCUUUAAGACUGCAUCGCUAGAAUUGUGGAGAGGUAAGUGGAAUUCCGAGUGUAGAGGUGAAAUUCGUAGAUAUUCGGAAGAACACCGGUGGCGAAGGCGGCUCACUGGCUCAUUACUGACGCUCAGGCGCGACAGCGUGGGGAUCAAACAGG